UAUAAAUACUCAACUCCCUAACCCAUAUCCAAACCGAAAUCAAAGAAGAUCAAGAUGUUUGAAUGUCCAGGAAAACAGCAAUGGCCGGAGCUUGUUUUUGUAGAGUAUUCUAUUGUUGCUAUGAUCAUAGAGAAAGAGAAUCCUAAUGUGAAAGCACAGAAGAUUCUAGCUGGGAGUUCGAGAAUUUUGAACAUCGAUUGUUCACGAGUUUGAGUUGAGGUCAAUAUUAAGGACGUUGUUGGUUUAGUUCCUAAGGUUGGUUAAGGAUCGAGAUGUAUGAAUUUAUGCAUACAUAUAAUGUAUUUGAAGUUAAUAAUACGGUAGUAUCCUCCUACCACUUUAAUUUCAUU